UUUAUCUCUCUAAGUCUUGACUCCACCAUAGGCCUGGCCACUCUAUCGCUCUCUCUCUCUCUCUCUGUCUCUUCUCCCUCCUCAUUCACAAGUGGCGGCGAUGGUGGUGGCGAUAGUGAAGGUGGUCACAACGAUGGUGCUUCGAAUUCAAGGGUUUCAAUUGGUCGUCAUGGUGCAUGGAGAAGAUGAAUGGUCGUUUGGGUAUUGUGAACAAGGAACUGGA